rnacentral:rRNA from 1 species
UACGUAGGGUGCAAGCGUUAAUCGGAAUUACUGGGCGUAAAGCGUGCGCAGGCGGUUUUGUAAGUCUGUCGUGAAAUCCCCGGGCUCAACCUGGGAAUGGCAUUGGAAACUGGCGGGCUGGAGUGUGGCAGAGGGGGGUGGAAUUCCACGUGUAGCAGUGAAAUGCGUAGAGAUGUGGAGGAACACCGAUGGCGAAGGCAGCCCCCUGGGCCAACACUGACGCUCAGGCACGAAAGCGUGGGGAGCAAACAGG